ACGCGGUUUUGUUUGUUUACCUUAGGACAAAGGGCAGCUACAAAUUUAGCGUCGGUUUGUAGCGUCACCUGGCAGUUGAGUUUAAAGAUUUCAACCUCAGCGGAAAAAAUCAGAUUCAAUCUCUAAUCAGUGAAAAUGGCCAAAGCAAGAAAGGCAGCAGCAAAGAAGCCUGCAGGAGACAGUGCAGCCAAAGCCAAGGCUCCUAAGAGGAAGGCACCAGCAAAGAAGAAGUCAGGAAAGGUUACAAAGAAAGCAGCCAAGAAAGCAAAGAAGCCCAAGAAGAAGUAGACUUCUUUAUUGGAGCCAACAGACUUUUGUAGCAUAAGAGACAUUGUACAAGUAUCAAUAUUUGAUAUACCUCUUUUAUAGAAAAAAUACGUUAAAAAUGGAGCUUUAAGUCUAUGUUGUGGAUCAACAAGAUUUUAAAAGAUCGUCAUUCCCGGAUUUUCGGCAUCCUUUGUAAGAUAACUCAACCUUAUUUAUUAUGCUAUUUAAUCUGGCGCAGUGUUUCAUAACACGAAAGAAAAAAUCAACCCGGGAUAUUAUCUAAUGUGGUAGAAUUUCAACAUUCUUGUAGCUAGGGGUUUGAGUUUUCGUGUACUUGACACCAUUCAUCCAAUGAUCUCAUUUUCUCUUGGAAAUCUUGUUCAGUUGAAUGAAUAGAGUGAGGCAUUUGAAGCAGAAAAAGUUUGAAUUUGAAUCUCCUUGAGAACAACAAAUUGUGGGACAAUGAGUACAUCACGAUAGCGGAACAACUGGGAAUGGAGAUUUAAGAGAAUUUACGAUUUACCUUCAAAGGCAGCAUUGUAAUUGGACCACAUCCAUCAAUUAUCGGAGUCAUAUUGGCAUCAACUCUGCCCCUUCUAUUUUCUUCCAUUUUGUGUGAAUAAAAAUUUGUAAAAAAAAA